AUUGAACGCUGGCGGCGUGCCUAACACAUGCAAGUCGAGCGGUAACAGGUGUAGCAAUACAUGCUGACGAGCGGCGGACGGGUGAGUAACGCUUGGGAAUCUGCCUAUUAGUGGGGGACAACCCGGGGAAACUCGGGCUAAUACCGCAUACGCACUACGGUGGAAAGCCGGGGACCGCAAGGCCUGGCGCUAACAGAUGAGCCCAAGUCGGAUUAGCUAGUUGGUAGGUAACGGCCACCAAGGCGACGAUCCGUAACUGGUCUGAGAGGACGACCAGUCACACCGGAACUGAGACACGGUCCGGACUCCUACGGGAGGCAGCAGUGGGGAAUAUUGGACAAUGGCGAAAGCCUGAUCCAGCGACGCCGCGUGGUGAAGAAGG
rnacentral:rRNA from 1 species